GUAGGGAAUUUUCGUCAAUGGGCGCAAGCCUGAACGAGCAAUGCCGCGUGAGCGAAGAAGGUCUUCGGAUCGUAAAACUCUGUUGCGGGGGAAAAAGGAAGGGAAGAGGAAAUGCUUUUCUUUUGAUGGUACCCCGCCAGAAAGUCACGGCUAACUACGUGCCAGCAGCCGCGGUAAUACGUAGGUGGCAAGCGUUAUCCGGAAUGAUUGGGCGUAAAGGGUGCGCAGGCUGCGCGUCAAGUCUGAAGUGAAAGGUACGGGCUUAACCGGUACAGGCUUUGGAAACUGGCACGCUAGAGGACAGGAGAGGGCGGUGGAACUCCAUGUGUAGCGGUAAAAUGCGUAGAUAUAUGGAAGAACACCAGUUGCGAAGGCGACCGCCUGGACUGUUGCUGACGCUCAGGCACGAAAGCGUGGGGAGCAAAUAGG
rnacentral:rRNA from 1 species